GGGGGGGGGGGGGGGGGGGGGGGGGGGGGGGGGGGGGGGGGGGGGGGGGGGGGGGGGGGGGGGAAAAAUCAGAGAGGGGGAAAAAACUGGGAAUUGUGUGGGGAAAAAGCAGGAGAAGUGGGAUGGGCGUGGAGGGAUUUGCAUAAAAGCUCCGGGUUCUUCCAGCAGGGCUCAUCCCGAUCUCCCGGGAGCCCAAAAUUCCCAAAUUCUGUGGGGUGAGGGAUGGGAUGGGAUGGUCCCAAAAAAACCAACCCCAGAGGCGAUCCCGGAAUUCCCAGAGCCUGGAAUAAAGUGCAGAAUGUCCAUGGGCCGGGGGAGGGGAGCAGGGAUGGGAAUUCCCAAAUUUUUAAAUAGGGGGAUAAAUAUUCCCGUGGGAAAAGGGGAUCUGAGCUGGGAGAGGGGGCUGGGCUGGGAUUGGGGACCCCAAAGUUCUCAGUCCAGGGGGAUCCCAAAGUUCUAAAUCUGCUGGGAAUUGGGGAUCCCAAAGUUCUCAUUCCAUGGGAAACCAUGAAUCCCAAAGUUCUCAUUCCAUGAGGAUCCCAAAGUUCUCAGUUCAGGAGGAUCCCAAAGUUCUCAAUCCACAGAGAAUUGGGGAUCCCAAAGUUCUAAAUCUUCUGGGAAUUGGGGAUCCCAAAGUUCUCAGUCCAUGGGGAUCCCAGAUUUCUCAGUUCAUGGGGAUUUGAGGAUCUCAAAGUUCUCAUUCCAGGGAGAAUUGGGGAUCCCAAAGUUCUCACUCCAGGGGAAUCACGGAUCCCACUCCCCUCAUUCCAAGGAAGAUUCCCAACAUUUCCCCACUGUGCCCAAACCCCUCCAGAGCCCCAGAACCAGCACUGGGAACGAGGCCCUGGAGCAGCGCCCGGGAUCCACCCG
rnacentral:lncRNA from 12 species